rnacentral:ncRNA from 2 species
GUGACGGCACUUCGCGUGCUCGAGCGGGUGUGGGCCGCAGAGACCAGGGGGAAGCGACUGUUUACUAAAAACACAGGUCCGUGCGAAGUCGCAAGACGAUGUAUACGGACUGACUCCUGCCCGGUGCUGGAAGGUUAAGAGGACCGGUUAGCGCCCCUCGCGGGUGCGAAGCUGGGAAUUUAAGCCCCAGUAAACGGCGGUGGUAACUAUAACCAUCCUAAGGUAGCGAAAUUCCUUGUCGGGUAAGUUCCGACCUGCACGAAUGGAGUAACGACUUCCCCGCUGUCUCAACCAUAAACUCGG